GAUGAACGCUAGCGGCAGGCCUAACACAUGCAAGUCAGGGGGCAUCACGGAUUGCUUGCAAUCUGGUGGCGACCGGCGCACGGGUGCGUAACGCGUAUACAACACCUUUUUGGAGGGGAAUAGCCCAGAGAAAUUUGGAUUAAUACCCCAUAGUAUAUAGGAAUCUCCUGAUUUUAUAUUAAACAUUUAUGGCCAUUAGAUGGGUAUGCGUCCUAUUAGCUAGUUGGUGUGGUAACGGCACACCAAGGCUACGAUAGGUAGGGGUCCUGAGAGGGAGAUCCCCACACUGGUACUGAGACACGGACCAGACUCCUACGGGAGGCAGCAGUGAGGAAUAUUGGACAAUGGGCGAGAGCCUGAUCCAGCCAUGCCGCGUGCAGGAAGACUCGCCCUAUGGGUUGUAAACUGUCUUUUACAGAGGAAGAACCCACCCCACGUGUGGGGGUUUGACGGUACUCUGCGAAUAAGGAUCGGCUAACUCCGUG
rnacentral:rRNA from 1 species